rnacentral:rRNA from 1 species
CCUACGGGGGGCUGCAGUGGGGAAUAUUGCACAAUGGGCGCAAGCCUGAUGCAGCCAUGCCGCGUGUGUGAAGAAGGCCUUCGGGUUGUAAAGCACUUUCAGCGGGGAGGAAGGCAGUGAGGUUAAUAACCUCAUCGAUUGACGUUACCCGCAGAAGAAGCACCGGCUAACUCCGUGCCAGCAGCCGCGGUAAUACGGAGGGUGCAAGCGUUAAUCGGAAUUACUGGGCGUAAAGCGCACGCAGGCGGUCUGUCAAGUCGGAUGUGAAAUCCCCGGGCUCAACCUGGGAACUGCAUUCGAAACUGGGAGGCUAGAGUCUUGUAGAGGGGGGUAGAAUUCCAGGUGUAGCGGUGAAAUGCGUAGAGAUCUGGAGGAAUACCGGUGGCGAAGGCGGCCCCCUGGACAAAGACUGACGCUCAGGUGCGAAAGCGUGGGGAGCAAACAGGAUUAGAUACCCGAGUAGUC